UACGUAGGUGGCGAGCGUUGUCCGGAUUUAUUGGGCGUAAAGCGCGCGCAGGCGGUUCCUCGCGUCCGGUGUGAAAUCUCCCGGCUCACCUGGGAGGGGGCGCUGGAAACGGAGGGACUGGAGGCAGGCAGAGGUCGGUGGAAUUCCCGGUGUAGUGGUGAAAUGCGUAGAGAUCGGGAGGAACACCAGUGGCGAAAGCGGCCGACUGGGCCUGUCCUGACGCUGAGGCGCGAAAGCGUGGGGAGCGAACCGG
rnacentral:rRNA from 1 species